rnacentral:rRNA from 1 species
GUGGGGAAUUGUUCGCAAUGGGCGCAAGCCUGACGACGCAACGCCGCGUGGAGGACGAAGAUCUUCGGGUCGUAAACUCCUGUCGAGUGGGAAGAACGCUUCGGGGGCGAAUAUCCUCCGGAAUUGACGGUACCACUAAAGGAAGCCCCGGCUAACUCCGUGCCAGCAGCCGCGGUAAUACGGGGGGGGCAAGCGUUGUUCGGAAUUACUGGGCGUAAAGGGCUCGUAGGCGGCCAACUAAGUCGGAUGUGAAAUCCCCAGGCUUAACCUGGGAACUGCAUCCGAUACUGGAUGGCUUGAAUUCGGGAGAGGGAUGCAGAAUUCCAGGUGUAGCGGUGAAAUGCGUAGAUAUCUGGAGGAAUACCGGUGGCGAAGGCGGCAUCCUGGACCGAGAUUGACGCUGAUGAGCGAAAGCUAGGGGAGCAAACGGGAUUAGAAACCCGAGUAGUCC